GCACCUUAUUCCUCCAGUUGGUGUACUUGACUCACGUGGAGUGGAACUUUGGAUAUGUCGACCGAACAGUGCUCCCCGUUGAUUUUUGGGGUAGUAAACAAUGUAAGUCCGCUUACAAAUUUGUGAAAGACAAUGGGGGUCCCAACAGCGACAAGAUAACGCUCACUUCGAAUCCCGUAAUACUGCCCAACUACUACUCGGACUCGGAAGGAAGAAAGAGCAGUGACCACUUUGUCAGCUCUAUCAACGAGUUGAAGGAGUACAUCUCGAAUGAGUUAAAGUCUCAGUUGAGAUCAUUUUCUUUGAAAUUUAUGGACAAAGGAGAAGGUGUAGGUGGUAUUGACCGAGAGUUGGAGGAGGAUGCUGCUGCGGAAACGGGGAAGAAGGCGGAGUGCAGCCAGGCCGUGGAGGAGUCCCCGUUGAAGUCCCCUGUCCGUUCGAAGACUAAUGUUGUUGGUCUAUCCGACGAAAAUGUG